rnacentral:rRNA from 1 species
CCUACGGGAGGCAGCAGUGAGGAAUAUUGGUCAAUGGGCGAGAGCCUGAACCAGCCAAGUAGCGUGAAGGAUGACUGCCCUAUGGGUUGUAAACUUCUUUUAUAAGGGAAUAAAUUGCUGCACGUGUGCCAUUUUGUAUGUACCUUAUGAAUAAGGAUCGGCUAACUCCGUGCCAGCAGCCGCGGUAAUACGGAGGAUCCGAGCGUUAUCCGGAUUUAUUGGGUUUAAAGGGUGCGUAGGUGGGUUUUUAAGUCAGUUGUGAAAGUUUGCGGCUCAACCGUAAAAUUGCAGUUGAAACUGGCAGCCUUGAGUACAGUUGAGGUAGGCGGAAUGCGUGGUGUAGCGGUGAAAUGCUUAGAUAUCACGAAGAACUCCGAUUGCGAAGGCAGCUCACUAAACUGCAACUGACACUGAUGCUCGAAAGUGUGGGUAUCAAACAGGAUUAGAUACCCGUGUAGUC